UAGGGAAUCUUCGGCAAUGGGGGCAACCCUGACCGAGCAACGCCGCGUGAGUGAAGAAGGUUUUCGGAUCGUAAAGCUCUGUUGUAAGUCAAGAACGAGUGUGAGAGUGGAAAGUUCACACUGUGACGGUAGCUUACCAGAAAGGGACGGCUAACUACGUGCCAGCAGCCGCGGUAAUACGUAGGUCCCGAGCGUUGUCCGGAUUUAUUGGGCGUAAAGCGAGCGCAGGCGGUUUGAUAAGUCUGAAGUUAAAGGCUGUGGCUCAACCAUAGUUCGCUUUGGAAACUGUCAAACUUGAGUGCAGAAGGGGAGAGUGGAAUUCCAUGUGUAGCGGUGAAAUGCGUAGAUAUAUGGAGGAGCACCGGUGGCGAAAGCGGCUCUCUGGUCUGUAACUGACGCUGAGGCUCGAAAGCGUGGGGAGCGAACAGGAUUAGAUACCCUGGUAGUCCACGCCGUNNNGAUGAGUGCUAGGUGUUGGAUCCUUUCCGGGAUUCAGUGCCGCAGCUAACGCANUAANCACUCCNCCUGGGGAGUACNACCGCNAGGUU
rnacentral:rRNA from 1 species